AUUGAACGCUGGCGGCAGGCCUAACACAUGCAAGUAGAGCGGAGCGGCGGCCGGGUGAGUAAUGCCUAGGAAUCUUCCUGGUAGUGGGGAUGACGUCCGGAAAUGGACGCUAAUACCGCAUACUAUCAGAUGAGCCUAGGUCGGAUUAGAUAGUUGGUGGGGUACAGGCCUACAAAGGCGACGAUCCGUAACUGGUCUGAGAGGAUGAUGAGUCACACUGGAACUGUGACACGGUCCAGACUCCGACGUGAGGCAGCAGUGGGGAGUAUUGGACAAUGGGCGAAAUCCUGAUCCAGCCAUGCCGCGGGUGUGAAGAAGGUCUUCGGAUUGUAAAGCACGUUAAGUUGGGAGGCGUUACCAACAGAAUAAGCACCGGCUAACUUCGUGCCAGCAGCCGCGGUAAUUC
rnacentral:rRNA from 1 species